rnacentral:sRNA from 1 species
UCCGUAGGUGAACCUUGCGGAAGGAUCAUUACCGAGUGAGGGCCCUCUGGGUCCAACCUCCCACCCGUGUCUAUCGUACCUUGUUGCUUCGGCGGGCCCGCCGUUUCGACGGCCGCCGGGGAGGCCUUGCGCCCCCGGGCCCGCGCCCGCCGAAGACCCCAACAUGAACGCUGUUCUGAAAGUAUGCAGUCUGAGUUGAUUAUCGUAAUCAGUUAAAACUUUCAACAACGGAUCUCUUGGUUCCGGCAUCGAUGAAGAACGCAGCGAARUGCGAUAAGUAAUGUGAAUUGCMGAAUUCAGUGAAUCAUYGAGUCUUUGAACGCACAUUGCGCCCCCUGGUAUUCCGGGGGGCAUGCCUGUCCGAGCGUCAUUGCUGCCCUCAAGCACGGCUUGUGUGUUGGGCCCCCGUCCCCCUCUCCCGGGGGACGGGCCCGAAAGGCAGCGGCGGCACCGCGUCCGGUCCUCGAGCGUAUGGGGCUUUGUCACCUGCUCUGUAGGCCCGGCCGGCGCCAGCCGACACCCAACUUUAUUUUUCUAAGGUUGACCUCGGAUCAGGUAGGGAUACCCGCUGAACUUAAGCAUAUCAAUAAGCGGAGGA